rnacentral:rRNA from 1 species
GCCUACGGCCGUACCACCCUGAAAGCGUCUGAUCUCGGAAGCUAAGCAGGGACGGGCCUGGUUAGUACCUGGAUGGGAGACCGCCUGGGAAUACCAGGUGUUGUAGGCU